UGCGAGCGUUAAUCGGUAAUUACGUGGGACGUAAAGCGCAUGCAGGUUGGUUUGUUAAGUCAGAUGUGAAAGCCCGGGGCUCAACCUCGGAAUUGCAUUUGAAACUGGCAAACUAGAGUACUGUAGAGGGGGGUAGGAAUUUCAGGUGUAGCGGUGAAAUGCGUAGAGAUCUGAAGGAAUACCGGUGGCGAAGGCGGCCCCCUCGGACAGAUACUGACACUCAGAUGCGAAAGCGUGGGGAGCAAACAGGAUUAGAUACCCUGGUAG
rnacentral:rRNA from 1 species